rnacentral:rRNA from 1 species
AUUGAACGCUGGCGGCAGGCCUAACACAUGCAAGUCGAACGAGUGGCGGACGGGUGAGUAAUGUAUGGGAAACUGCCUGAUGGAGGGGGAUAACUACUGGAAACGGUAGCUAAUACCGCAUACCAUCGGAUUUGCCCAGAUGGGAUUAGCUAGUAGUUGGGGUAAAGGCUCACCUAGGCGACGAUCCCUAGCGGGUCUGAGAGGAGGACCAGCCACACUGGAACUGAGACACGGUCCAGACUCCGAGGGGAGGCAGCAGUGGGCAUUAUUGGACAAUUGGCGCAAGCCUGAUGCAGCCAUGCCGCGUGGAUGAAGAAGGCCUUCGGGUUGUAAAGUACUUUCAGCGGGGAGGCGUUACCCGCAGAAGAAGCACCGGCUAACUCCGCGCCAGCAGCCGCGGUAAUUC